rnacentral:rRNA from 1 species
AGGGCGGGCGGCUGCUUAACAUGCAAGUCGAACGGCAGCGGGGGUGCUUGCACCUGCCGGCGAGUGGCGAACGGGUGAGUAAUGCAUCGGAACGUACCCAGUAGUGGGGGAUAACUUACCGAAAGGUAAGCUAAUACCGCAUACGCACUGAGGUGGAAAGCAGGGGACCUUCGGGCCUUGUGCUAUUGGAGCGGCCGAUGUCGGAUUAGCUAGUUGGUGAGGUAAAGGCUCACCAAGGCGACGAUCCGUAGCUGGUCUGAGAGGAUGAUCAGCCACACUGGAACUGAGACACGGUCCAGACUCCUACGGGAGGCAGCAGUGGGGAAUUUUGGACAAUGGGCGCAAGCCUGAUCCAGCCAUGCCGCGUGAGUGAAGAAGGCCUUCGGGUUGUAAAGCUCUUUCGGCCGGGAAGAAAUCGGUGAGGCUAAUAUCCUCACUGGAUGACGGUACCGGAAUAAGAAGCACCGGCUAACUACGUGCCAGCAGCCGCGGUAAUACGUAGGGUGCGAGCGUUAAUCGGAAUUACUGGGCGUAAAGCGUGCGCAGGCGGUUUUGUAAGACAGGCGUGAAAUCCCCGGGCUCAACCUGGGAACUGCGCUUGUGACUGCAAGGCUAGAGUACGGCAGAGGGGGGUGGAAUUCCACGUGUAGCAGUGAAAUGCGUAGAGAUGUGGAGGAACACCGAUGGCGAAGGCAGCCCCCUGGGCCGAUACUGACGCUCAUGCACGAAAGCGUGGGGAGCAAACAGGAUUAGAUACCCUGGUAGUCCACGCCCUAAACGAUGUCAACUAGGUGUUGGGUGGGUAAAACCAUUUAGUACCGUAGCUAACGCGUGAAGUUGACCGCCUGGGGAGUACGGCCGCAAGGUUAAAACUCAAAGGAAUUGACGGGGACCCGCACAAGCGGUGGAUGAUGUGGAUUAAUUCGAUGCAACGCGAAAACCUUACCUACCCUUGACAUGUCCAGACCCUUGAGAGAUUGAGGGGUGCCCGAAGGGACUGGAACACCAGGUGCUGCAUGGCUGUCGUCAGCCUCG